UCAUUCAAAAUCAGAUGAAUGUCAGUAGGAUGUUUGUCAAACAAACUUGUCAUCAUUUGUCACAAUUUGAGGAAGUCUCAGUCAGUAGUCACACUUGAACGUGUAACAGAGUUAUUUAUAGCCGCCAGUCUCCAGUUUUAAGUAAAUGCAGGGCCGGGGUUCGGUGUUAUAAACAGCUUUAUUUAUAAUGAUUGUGCGGCUAUAAAUAGUUUGGUGUGCUGGGGGUAGCAGAGUGGCUGGGCUCAGGGCUGUCAGAGCCAGGAGGGAAGCCACAGGAGGAGGGAAGUGCCUCCUCCCGCGUCUUCCUCUUCUCGGCGGACCCUCUCUGCGAGUCCUUGGCCGGGAAGGUAUUUGAUCCUCUUCCUCCCUGUCCCUUGUGGAAGGAGAAGUUGUGCACAACGGUGUUCCCAGGAGAAGUACAGCUGAAGUCUAUUAGGUAGGACGGUACAAAUCAGGGAGAGAAGAACCUCGCAAGAAAUUGACUUCAUGCUGUCAUCUUAGCAACCUCUGAGACACGCGCUGAGCCCCUGUAAGCGGAAAGUAGUCACAGCCGGAGAUUUGGGGCAGAAGGACACAGGCAAGCAAUCCUUCUUGGAAAAGGGAUUACCUUUUUUUGUUGUUGUUGUUGCUGUAUCAUCAGCAACCUCUUCAUUGUCGUCAUCAUCAUUAUUGCAAUUUUUGUCCAAGAGCGCUGUGAGAUGCAUCCUAUUUGAACCCGUCCCCCUCGAGCUGUAGCAAGGACAGCCUGCCCAAGUAAGCUGCCAACUAACACUCAGAAGACGCAGGUCCGGACGCAGAGGAGCUAAGGUCAAGGGACUCUGAGGGGGGGCUUCUCAUCCUGACCUGGGUGCUAGGGAGGGCAUCCCGGAGGAGAGGGCCCCCGGGUUGAAUGCUGCAGGUGGUUCCUUAGGGCAGCGACUGUCUUUUUGUUUCUGUAUAGACACCUGUGACGCAGAAGGCACGUGGUAAAUAUUUGCAGAGAGAACAAACGAAGGUUUACUCUCUCUUUAAAUCUCCCCGAUGCCGAGUACUAGCUGAGAAGGAUGUGGUAUAAGUGCCUUAGUUCAGGCCCUUUGGCUACGCAUUCCUGGAACUCGAAGUGUUUGGAGCUUCAGGACGUCAUUAGCUCCUUCCAUUCUGUUCCCCUCCUUUGACCAAGUGACUGGUUGGAAGCCAUUUGC